UACGGAAGGCAGCGGUGGGGAAUAUUGCACAAUGGGCGCAAGCCUGAUGCAGCCAUGCCGCGUGUAUGAAAAAGGCCUUCGGGUUGUAAAGUACUUUCAGUCGUGAGGAAGGUGUUAAGGUUAAUAACCUUAGCAAUUGACGUUAGCGACAGAAGAAGCACCGGCUAACUCCGUGCCAGCAGCCGCGGUAAUACGGAGGGUGCGAGCGUUAAUCGGAAUUACUGGGCGUAAAGGGCACGCAGGCGGUUAAUUAAGUUGGAUGUGAAAUCCCCGGGCUUAACCUGGGAAUGGCAUUCAAGACUGGUUAGCUAGAGUCUUGUAGAGGGGGUUAGAAUUCCAUGUGUAGCGGUGAAAUGCGUAGAGAUGUGGAGGAUACCGGUGGCGAAGGCGGCCCCUGGACAAGACUGACGCUCAUGUGCGAAAGCGUGGGGAGCAAACAGGGAUUAGAUACC
rnacentral:rRNA from 1 species